AGCAGCCGCGGUAAUUCCAGCUCCAAUAGCGUAUAUUAAAGUUGUUGCAGUUAAAAAGCUCGUAGUUGAAUUUCGGGAUCAAUAUGUUGGUCGUGCCUCGGUACGUACUAGCUUAUUGGUUUCUCCUUUCUGAAGAACCAUGAUGUCAUUUAUUUGGUGUCGUGGGGAAUCAGGACUGUUACUUUGAAAAAAUUAGAGUGUUUAAAGCAGGCUCACGCUUGAAUACAUUAGCAUGGAAUAAUGAAAUAGGACGUUUGAUUCUAUUUUGUUGGUUUUUAGGAUCGACGUAAUGAUUAAUAGGGAUAGUUGGGGGCAUUAGUAUUCAAUUGUCAGAGGUGAAAUUCUUGGAUUUAUUGAAGACUAACUACUGCGAAAGCAUUUGCCAAGGAUGUUUUCAUUAAUCAAGAACGAAAGUUAGGGGAUCGAAGACGAUCAGAUACCGUCGUAGUCUUAACCAUAAAC
rnacentral:rRNA from 1 species